rnacentral:tRNA from 1 species
GCCGAAGUGGUGAAAUGGUAUACACGCAUGCUUCAGGUGCAUGUGCUCGCAAGAGUGUGAGGGUUCGAGUCCCUCUUUCGGCA